rnacentral:pre_miRNA from 1 species
AAUGUACUCCCUCCGUUCGGAAUUACUUGUCUCGGAAAUGGAUGUAUCUAGAACUAAAAUACGUCUAGAUACAUCCAUUCCCGCGACAAGUAAUUCCGAACGGAGGGAGUAUAAG